UUCCAGCCUUGCCCUGUAACACGCUACUGGACACAGACCCUUCACCUCUUUCUCUGGAGCUCUACGGCAGCCACCAGCACAGAGGGAGGAGAAAUCACCCCUACGGAUAUCUGGCUGUGCAAUGAAGUUAACAAGUACAUGCAAAAAACAACCCCCAGUUCUGCGCAGGACCCCCGACUUUGCUGCAGUAGCACUGGAAAUUGGAGCAAAGACUGGGAGCAAGCUAACCUUCCCUACUGGCGACAGAUCCAAGCCACACAGUUUGGAUCCAGACCUCCCAGAUGCCAGAGAGCUCCACCAGUGUGGCAAGACUUUUUUCUUAUUAUACAGUUGCCAGCUAUAGUAUCUGCCACCCUCUACAGCCAUUUGAUGUGCAAAGAAGCUAUCCUGCCAAUAACAUGCUGUUUCUUCAAUCUGAUGCAACACAUUUAAAUCAGGUGUGUAAAUAGAAAGUCAACGUUCAAAAGCCAGCCUGAAGCUAUUAAGCAACAAGAGAGAUUUCUUCAUAUGAAGAUUAUUUUAAACACAGAAUUUAAAAAACAUGAGAUGGGACCCAGACAAGCAACUUUGCAAGGGAAAGCCCUCUCUUCAGAUGCCACGCAGCAACACUGAAGUGCUCUCCCACCAAGGUUUCUUUCAUCGUAACCCGGAAUGGUAACCUCAGACAUGGGGUGGCAGCUUAUCUUCAGUGGCCCCUUGAAUGCCCCCCCUUCCUGUUGACACUCAUCCUUUGGGUGGAGUCUUCAAAUGAGUUAUCUCCCAUGCACAAAGAGAUUAAAAGCCAGCAGCCUCCAGUGAAAGGCUUUCUAUCCUCUAUGCUAUGCUCCCCUGGGUAGCUUGCAAUACCUUCAAAUUUCCUAUAUGGCAUCUUCAAAGAUAAAUGAUUUAGGGGGAUUUUCACACAGUCAGAAUCUGCCCUGCAAGUACCACCACAGCUUUAUCCCUGCUGUUGUAAGAAACUGCAUGCAUACAUAUAGCUAUGGACUUUUCCCUAGACAAGGUGAUAUACAUCUACAUAAACCCUAAACUUAAAAAUGGAAACAAAACCAGUUUAAUACACAAAAUCCAACUAAGUGACAAUCAUACUCUACAGAAAAUAAAUCUUCUUGUUUUGGA